rnacentral:rRNA from 1 species
AAUGAACGUUGGCGGCGUGGAUUAGGCAUGCAAGUCGAGCGAGAAUCGUAGCAAUACGAGGACAGCGGCGAAAGGGACAGUAACGUGUAGAUCAUCUGCCCUCAGGUCUGGGAUAGCUGCGGGAAACUGCAGGUAAUACCAGAUGAUAUCUCCGGAUCAAAGGUGUGAUUCCGCCUGGGGAUGAGUCUACAUCCUAUUAGCUUGUUGGUAGGGUAACGGCCUACCAAGGCGAUGAUGGGUAGCGGGUGUGAGAGCACGACCCGCGUCAUUGGGACUGAGACACUGCCCAGACACCUACGGGAGGCAG